UCCCGACCUCUCAUUUUAGGUCUUCAUGGA
rnacentral:piRNA from 1 species